rnacentral:rRNA from 1 species
UACGGAGGGUGCAAGCGUUAAUCGGAAUUACUGGGCGUAAAGCGCACGCAGGUGGCUGAGUCAGUCGAUUGUGAAAGCCCUGGGCUUAACCUGGGAAUUGCAGUCGAUACUACUCAGCUAGAGUAUGGGAGAGGGUAGUGGAAUUCCCGGUGUAGCGGUGAAAUGCGUAGAUAUCGGAAGGAACAUCAGUGGCGAAAGCGGCUUCCUGGACCAGUACCGACGUCAGGCACGAAAGCGUGGGGAGCAAACAGG